AGCCUGCCAGUGACUCUGUUCAACGGCCGCGGUAUCCUAACCGUGCGAAGGUAGCGUAAUCACUUGUUCUUUAAAUAAGGACUAGUAUGAACGGCACCACGAAGGUUAUACUGUCUCCUUUCUCUAAUCAGUGAAAUUGAUUUCCCCGUGAAGAAGCGGGAAUAAAUAUAUAAGACGAGAAGACCCUAUGGAGCUUUAAACUACUAACAAUUAUUUUAACUUAACAAACCUUAAGGCUACAAAAUUAAUUUAAAUAUUCUGAUUUCUAGUUUUCGGUUGGGGUGACCACGGAGUAAAACUUAUCCUCCAUGAUGAAUUAGAACCUAUUUCUAAGCAAAAAACUACAAUUUAAAGCAUCAAAAAAUUGACUCUAUUGACCCAAUAUUUGAUCAACGAACCAAGUUACCCUAGGGAUAACAGCGCAAUCCAUUUCAAGAGUUCAUAUCGACAGAUGGGUUUACACCUCGAUGUUGGAUCAGGAUACCCAGGUGGUGCAGCCGCUACUAAUGGUUCGUUUGUUCAACGAUUAAAAUCCUACGUGAUCUGAGUUCAGACCG
rnacentral:rRNA from 1 species